GUGCUGUCGCUGCCUCCGCCCCGGCGCGGGCUCCGACCCCGUGGAGAUCAUGAAUCAGGCAGAUAAAAAUCAACAAGAAAUGCCAUCAUACCUUAGUGAUGAACCACCAGAGGGUUCAAUGAAAGAUCAUCCACAGCAGCAGCCGGGCAUGUUGUCCCGUGUGACUGGAGGAAUAUUCAGUGUUACAAAGGGAGCUAUUGGUGCCACCAUUGGUGGUGUGGCUUGGAUUGGUGGAAAGAGCCUGGAGGUGACCAAAACAGCUGUUACAACUGUGCCUUCCAUGGGAAUAGGGCUGGUGAAAGGGGGCGUGUCUGCUGUGGCUGGAGGUGUUACAGCUGUUGGGUCUGCUGUUGUAAACAAAGUGCCCUUAACAGGAAAGAAGAAAGGCAAAUCUGACUAAAAUAUGGAGGUAUACUUUCUCUCCCCAGCAUUGUGAUGCCAGUGGCAUUGGAUUGCUAACUUAUGGACCUCAACCACGUCACCUGUUUGGAUGCUUAUCUUCUAAACUGCUGUGUUGAAGGUAUUGGUGGCUUUCACCUAAAGAAGAGACUAUUCUAGCACAGUGUGUGAAGGUUUCUCAUACUUAAGUUCCAGCUUUUUAUCUGGUAAAUGUUACACUUACUAAGCUGUAACUGAAGAUAUGGUAUGUUAAAUAUUUACUAUAAGUCUUUCAGUUUGACUAAAAAUGUGAAAAUUGAAUUUAGUAGAUGAUCUUUACAGUUUCAGAUGUACAGUGUGCCAGGUUAACUCAUACACCCCUUAUGAAGGGAAUCUUGAAUACAUAAACUGUACCUUUGAUGUGCCUAAUAGUUUCAAAUGUCUUAGUUUUUUUUUUAAAUAACCAUAGUUGUGUUGGCCAAAAGGCAUUUGUUUUUUCUUAUUUAAGAUGGCAAAAGUAGCAGGAAUUCAAGAAGUUAUAAAGAAAAUUGUUUUAUGACACAGUUAACCAUCUUUUGUUAGAUAUGCAUUCUAUUCAUUUAUUCAUAGAUGCCUUACAAAAGAAAACAUCUUUUCUAAUAUCUUAAAUAUGUGUAGUUCAUGGAAUUCUACCAAUAGAUUGUUUUAAAGGUUAUGAAAGUGCUUUCCCUAUUAAGAAAGACUCUCAGGAGUAGUGAGGUAAAGGCAUUUCUUGUUAUCAGUGGGUAAGAUGGUGCUUGCUAACUGUUGUGGCAGUAGUUAAAAUCGAACUGUACACUUCAACUUUGGUUUGCACUCCAUCGUUAAUACACCUCACGGUGCCUAAGGAACAUUUCUUAAUUGGUCAGAUGCUAUGUUGAAAGAGUUUCAUAUUAAGGAGGAACAAAUACUAAUUUUAAGUUCUUAAGA